CCUACGGGAUGCAGCAGUGGGGAAUAUUGGGCAAUGGGCGCAAGCCUGACCCAGCAACGCCGCGUGCAGGAAGAAGGCCCUCGGGUUGUAAACUUCUUUUCUCAGGUACGAAGCAUGUGACGGUACCUGAGGAAUAAGCCACGGCUAACUACGUGCCAGCAGCCGUGGUAAGACGUAGGUGGCAAGCGUUAUCCGGAUUUACUGGGUGUAAAGGGUGUGUAGGCGGGAAGGCAAGUCAGAUGUGAAACCCACGGGCUCAACCUGUGGACUGCAUUUGAAACUGUGUUUCUUGAGUACUGGGGAGGCAGACGGAAUUCCUAGUGUAGCGGUGAAAUGCGUAGAUAUUAGGAGGAACACCAGUGGCGAAGGCGGUCUGCUGGACAGCAACUGACGCUGAGGCGCGAAAGCGUGGGGAGCAAACAGGAUUAGAUACCCCAGUAGUC
rnacentral:rRNA from 1 species